rnacentral:rRNA from 1 species
UACGGAGGGUGCAAGCGUUGUUCGGAAUCACUGGGCGUAAAGGGCCAGUAGGCGGCCAACUAAGUCCGACGUGAAAUCCCAAGGCUUAACCUUGGAACUGCGUCGGAUACUGGAUGGCUUGAAUUCGGGAGAGGGAUGCAGAAUUCCAGGUGUAGCGGUGAAAUGCGUAGAUAUCUGGAGGAAUACCGGUGGCGAAGGCGGCAUCCUGGACCGACAUUGACGCUGAACGGCGAAAGCUAGGGGAGCAAACGGG